UACGUAGGGGGCAAGCGUUGUCCGGAAUCAUUGGGCGUAAAGAGCGUGUAGGCGGCCCGGUAAGUCCGCUGUGAAAGUCCAGGGCUCAACCCUGGGAUGCCGGUGGAUACUGUCGGGCUCGAGUCCGGAAGAGGAGUGUGGAAUUCCUGGUGUAGCGGUGAAAUGCGCAGAUAUCAGGAGGAACACCAAUGGCGAAGGCAGCACUCUGGGACGUGACUGACGCUGAGACGCGAAAAGCGUGGGGGAGCAAACAGG
rnacentral:rRNA from 1 species